rnacentral:lncRNA from 1 species
UCUAAUCUCUCUCUUCACUUCUGAGCUCUCUCUUGCUCUGAAAGUGCUCAUCAGCACUGAUUAGAACCAACCGGAGAAGACGGUGAUGGCCGACCGCCGGCGGCAACGCCACCCUCUUCUCCGACCAAACACCACCGUAAAGCACCAAACCACAAACACUAACCCCCCCCCCUUUAUUUUUACCCUACAAUCUAAAUCCGAGCUUGUUUUUUCUAAAAUCCUAACCCAACAUCCAGAUCGACACACCAAGUUAUGAAAAUCAAAAAUGCACAAAACCCAAAACCUCUCACUACUAAAUAAGCAACGCCAACACCUUCUAAUGCGCAAAGGCCUCAACGAAAGAAAAAAAGGACAAAAGGAAACCCUAAUUUUUGAAUUAGGCUUCACACAAAAGAGAAGCGGCGCAAUUAGUAUGGGGGUUUUGGUCUACAUCAAACGGAGAAGGAGCCGGUAUGUAAGAAUUGAAAGAGAUGAGUCUCUUCUACUUUUCUUGGCAUUUAUAAAUUUGUUGUUGUUUUGUUUAAUGUUUAAGCUUAGCUCGAAUUAUCUCAGAGUUUCAAUGAGAAACUCUGAGUAAUUUGUUAGUUUUGAGCUUUAGUGAGGUUUAGGAAUUGGGUCUGGUGGCGUUCCUGUAGCGUAACGGCAAGGUCCUCCUUUGCUUACAAUACCUCUCCUCUAUUUAUAGGAGAGUCCUUCUCCACCCAAAUUUAGGGCCAUGCUCUCUUAGAUUUGGUGAGCUGUAAUUUGUUAGGAUCAAUCCGUUGGAGGAUUUCGUCCAUCCCUGAUUUCGUGGGAUGCCCACUGUGAGCCGCUUGCCUUGAGUGGUACUACCACCUUGUAAUGGAAAAUCAUACACUAUGUGGUCCCCUGCAUAAUUUCUCUUUUCAAACGAUUAUUAACUUUUGUUUAAAUUUUAAUUGUUUUCGGUUUUGUGAUGCCAAUAACUUGCUUCUCCGUCAAUUCGAAAUGCUUUGAUAAGGUUGUAUUAAUCAAAGCUUUAGAUUAACCCUUUCUUUUAACGGGUCAUGAUGGUACGGAGCAUCCAAGCGAGGAAUAAAUCUCAACGUACUUGGUUCGAAAGAGGAAACUUGGAUUAGCGUAAAUGAGGAAGAUUUGAAUAUUAUGGGUUACUUUACAUUGUAUUGUAGUUUAGGCAUUAUAGUCCCAUGUAUUAAUUAUAGCUUUAUGAAUAUAAUUGUAACAUUAUGCCUUUAACGAGAGAAGUUGGAAUACUUAUGUACGUAAAAGAGUAACUCCAAGUCAAAUAAUUUUUAAUCAACUGGUACUAUUAUGAAGUUCAUAGGAAAAAGCUCUUAUUUCUUUCUUAUAGGUAUUAAGACGUUCAAAUAAAGACUUUAUGAAACU